UACGGGGGGAGCAAGCGUUGUUCGGAUUUACUGGGCGUAAAGGGCGCGUAGGCGGUCGUGACAAGUCACUUGUGAAAUCUCCGGGCUUAACUCGGAACGGUCAAGUGAUACUGUCGGACUAGAGUACAGAAGGGGCAACUGGAAUUCUCGGUGUAGCGGUGAAAUGCGUAGAUAUCAGGAGGAACACCGGUGGUGUAAACGGCUCUCUGGACCGUAACUGACGCUGAGGCACGAAAGCGUGGGUAGCAAACAGG
rnacentral:rRNA from 1 species